rnacentral:lncRNA from 1 species
GUGGAUCGCCAGGAGCAAAAAGGAACCAAGGAGAAACCCUAGUUCCUAAAAUUCUCAAAAUCAGAAGGAGUUUAAGAGCCUAAACAAAUGCAUGAACCCAAAACUCGAGUUAUCUAAGCUUCUUCAACGAAUGGCACGAAGAAGGAAGAAGGUACGAGUCACUUGAAGUCGCAAGCUUCACAAGAUCACGGUAAAUCUCAUGCUUAGAAUGGCGAGCUCGGAUUCGAACACACCACAUCGUCCAUAUAUGCGCUUCCGGUUCAAGUUAUCUUUUGAAAUGGGUCAAAUAAUUUUUGUAAUGUAAAUGUAAAUUUUA